AAUGAACGCUGGCGGCAGGCCUAACACAUGCAAGUCGAACGGAUAAAGGGAGCUUGUGCCUGGCUUCAGCGGCGGACGGGCGAGUAAUGCCUACGAAUCUACCUGGUAGUGGGGCAUGGCGUCCGUAAACGGGAGCUAAUACCGCAUACGUUAUGAGGGAAAAAGUGGGGGCUCUUCGGACCACACGCUAUCAGAUGAACCUAGUUCGGAUUAGCUAGUUGGUGGGGCAAAGGGCUACUAAGGCGCCGAUCUGUAACUGGACUCAGAGGAGGAACAGUCGCACGGGAACUGGGACACGCUCCAGCCUCCUACGGGAGGCACCGGUGGGGAAUAUUGGACAAUGGGCGGAAGCCUAAUCCAGCCAUGCGGCGUGUGUGAGAAAGGCCUUCGGAUUUUAAAGCACUUUAAGUGGGGAGGAAGGGCAGUAAGUUAAUACCUUCAGAUUUUGACGUUACCAAAAGAAUAAGCACCGGCUAACUUCGUG
rnacentral:rRNA from 1 species